UCAUUUCUUCGUUGAUUGAAAUUGAAAGCAGUGGUGAAGGACUGCUGGUGGGCAGUGCUGUAUAAAAGGAGGGGGCAAAUGGGGCAGUAGCCAUCCAAACAAACUACAGUAAAGCCCCGGGCCUCGAGCGUCCCCGUUUUCGAAGAAAUCGGUUUUUGAAUGAAAAUUUUUAGAUUUUUUUUUUUUUAUUUUCGCUUCUGUUUUCGAACAAAAACGGACGACCGUAUUAACCCCCAAUAAUGGCUCCAAAGAAG